rnacentral:tRNA from 1 species
GCCCUCGUAGUUCAGUGGUAGAACGCUUCCUUGGUAAGGACGAGGUCGCCGGUUCGAGCCCGGCCGAGGGCU